rnacentral:lncRNA from 1 species
GCUGUGCUCUUGCUCAAAGCCCUGCUGCAGCUCAGCUGGGCUCCUCUUCUGGAAUAUCUUCGCCCUCUUGCCUUCUCUCUCCACUCAAGACUUAGUUCAGCUGCUGUCUCCUGCAAGGAGCCUCAUUUGACAGCACAACACCCUCCAUCAUGUGGCACCCCUCUUUGCCAGUGAAUCCCACUGUGCAGACCACCACCAAGCAAUCCAGCUGUGACACAGAAGCUCAGUGCCAGUGUCUCCGACACCUCACUGUCUUGGUUCACACAUUCCUGUCCUGACGUCAGACACCUAAAGGAACAAGCAAGCAUAGCCAGAGCUUCUGCAGGGAACAGAAGACCUGAGGUUGGCAUCCUUUCUCUCCACUGGGCAAGUGGAGCUCACUUGCUCCUUUUUAUGGGUGUUUCUAAAUAUACAAAAUUGUUUGCCUUGUCCUUGGGUUUGUUUGGGGUUUUUUUGUUUGUUUGUUUGUUUGUUUGUUU